rnacentral:tRNA from 1 species
CGCGGGGUAGAGCAGUCUGGUAGCUCGUCGGGCUCAUAACCCGAAGGUCAGG